rnacentral:rRNA from 1 species
UACGAAGGGGGCUAGCGUUGUUCGGAAUUACUGGGCGUAAAGCGCACGUAGGCGGAUGUUUAAGUCGGGGGUGAAAUCCCAGGGCUCAACCCUGGAACUGCCUUCGAUACUGGACGUCUUGAGUCCGAGAGAGGUGAGUGGAAUUCCGAGUGUAGAGGUGAAAUUCGUAGAUAUUCGGCGGAACACCAGCGGCGAAGGCGACUCACUGGCCCGAUACUGACGCUGAGGCGCGAAAGCGUGGGGAGCAAACAGG